UACGUAGGCAGCAAGCGUUGUUCGGAGUUACUGGGCGUAAAGGGUGCGUAGGCGGCUUUUUAAGUUUGGUGUGAAAUCUCCCGGCUCAACUGGGAGGGUGCGCCGAAUACUGAGAGGCUAGAGUGUGGGAGAGGAAAGUGGAAUUCCUGGUGUAGCGGUGAAAUGCGUAGAUAUCAGGAGGAACACCGGUGGUGUAAACGGCUUUCUGGACCGGCAUUGACGCUGAGGAGCGAAAGCCAGGGGAGCAAACGGG
rnacentral:rRNA from 1 species